CCUCGGUGCCCUGGGCCAGUGUCUGUGCAAAGACGCUCACGAAUUGGAGCGCGGCCUGCUGCUGUCGCCGUCGCUGUUCCUGAAGCGCCGGCGCUGUCGGCGCGGAUCCCGAUGGGGCUUGCAUCGCGUGUGCGAUCGAGACGCUUUCUAGGGGCGUCGAUCGAAUGCGUGCGUGCGUACGAGCGCGCAGGGCGAAGGCGAUGCCGGCUCGCUCUUUGUUUUUUCCCCAUGUGCACCGUGCCUUUUUGCCGUUGGACGGGGCGAGGGGCCGCGCGACGCGUGUUGCGACUGACCGCAGUGUUGCUGAUGUCGCGGCACACGCUCCUAGCCGCCAGCGCCGACCUCGCCCUGCAGUGUCCCAGGUUGGGGUCCGGCAUAAAAAAAGAAGAGGUUGAAAAAAGAGGUGUCUGGCGGCUGGCCCUUGUUGUCGUCGACCCUUUUCUUUUGCGGCGAGGACCGCAGAGACAGACCGCGCACAUCGGCGCCAAUCGCCAACGUCGACUGGAAAACCUCACCAAAAUGAAAAAUGCACGCAAGCAACGG
rnacentral:lncRNA from 1 species